UAACACGUGGAUAACCUACCUAUAAGACUGGGAUAACUUCGGGAAACCGGAGCUAAUACCGGAUGAUAUUUUGAACCGCAUGGUUCAAAAGUGAAAGACGGUCUUGCUGUCACUUAUAGAUGGAUCCGCGCUGCAUUAGCUAGUUGGUAAGGUAACGGCUUACCAAGGCAACGAUGCAUAGCCGACCUGAGAGGGUGAUCGGCCACACUGGAACUGAGACACGGUCCAG
rnacentral:rRNA from 1 species